CUACUCGAGAAAGAGAUUGAACAGACAAUUGUCAGUUAACAAAAACCUUUUCAGGGAGACCAAAACACUUGUUAAUCCGGUCAACAAGUAAAGAUAGGUGGUGGAAACUGAGAUCAGAUGGUACAUUAGUGAAGCAACCUGGCACUAUAACCAAAGCAACGUGUUUCAUAAAGAGCUGAGAGGAAUAAGAAGAAGAAGAGAGAAGUUUCAGUUUCUUAAAAGUCUGACUGAAUCGAUUAAGAUUUCAACAAAUUUUUAGUUUCGUGUUUAUAAAAUUCUGAUUCAGGAUUGAGUUCUUGAUGUUUUUAUACCAGUUGAAGUGAAGAAGGAGAAGCGGAAGUACUGUAAAUACUGGCAGGGUUAAGAUUAUUAGGGAUAAAAUUAGGAUUAACUAGAAGAAGAAAGAUAAGAGUUAGAAUAAGAAGAGUAAGAGAUAGAUUAAUGGAUUUAUGGGAUAAAGUGAUUUUCCCUGUUCGUAGGGUUUGGAUUGCUUUUUCUGCUCGUGUUAAAGCUCGAAAAAAUGGGAAAUGCUAAUUGGCUUCCUAUUCUCAACCUCCCCACAAUCUAAGCCCAUCUUCAUAUCGAGAUUCGCAUUGAGAAUCAAGUGGGGUUCACCAUUCCUUAAUAUGGAGUUUAGAUGGUAGGAAGGAGAAUAGGGAUAACACUGCUCCUUUAAAUAAGAGACAAACACUAUUCAUUUAUCUUCUGUGCAGUACCCUACACUAUAAGUCUCCCUCUGUUUUGUCCCCCUCUUUAUAUGUAAUGUAAUCCUUAAAGUGAAAUACACUGUAUUCCUAGCUUACUUGCCUAUAUCAAGAAAUUCAAGAAGGUUAGUUGAUUCAGUAACUAUUCAAUUUCGUCACCCUUUUGUUGUUAGGAUUUCCAUCGGUUCUUAUGGAGUUUAUAUGGCACUUUGUAUUUAGCAACUACCAAGAGGUGGAGGGCUAUUGAAACUACACAAUGAUGUACAAACCUGGGAGUAUCAAGAUGUACAAGUAAUGUGGGAAAUGUUAAGAAGAUCGGAAUCAGAACUAAUGAAUAUUUCUGGUCAUCAAUCGCAUACACCUACCAAGCGUAAGCUACCACGUCCUUUUUGGAGUGUCCAUGUCUGGUCAUCGUCAUCUCAUAAAAACAUACAAUACGUCUCUCUAAACUCUUCUUCCCUAGAAUAAAAUACAAAUAAGAAAAGUGGGUACAAGCUUUCUUCCAAAUGUUUUUCUCACAAGAAAGAAAAGAAUGCACAUUUUCUAGUGUUUGAUGAUGAUGAAUCAUUUUGAUCAUGGGAUAUGAUGAAUUCAAUUCUGUGAUCGCAUAAACUAUGUAUGUAUAGUAGUUGCAGUAGUAGGUACGAGUUAUGUAUGUAUUUCUGUAUGUAAUAUGGGGGGGGACCAUGCAGCUGCUGGUAGUGGAGGUUAACCCAUCCUGAUUCUCAUCCUUUGCAGACAAGAAGUAGGAAGAAAGAAGAGACUCAAAAGAGAGUGAUGUAGAGAGGUGUUUCUUAUGAUGCCCUUUACAAGAAAAGGAAAAAAAUCAACUUUUUUUUUAAGCA